rnacentral:rRNA from 1 species
UACGGAGGGUGCGAGCGUUGUUCGGAAUCACUGGGCGUAAAGCGCGUCUAGGUGGGUUUAUAAGUCGGGUGUGAAAGACUCUGGCUCAACCAGAGAACGGCGCCCGAAACUGUAGGUCUUGAGUUAUGGAGAGGUGAGUGGAAUUCCUGGUGUAGCAGUGAAAUGCGUAGAGAUCAGGAGGAACAUCAGAGGCGAAGGCGACUCACUGGACAUAUACUGACACUGAAGCGCGAAAGCGUGGGGAGCAAACAGG